GACGAACGCUGGCGGCGUGCUUAACACAUGCAAGUCGAGCGGUAAGGCCCUUUCGGGGGUACACGAGCGGCGAACGGGUGAGUAACACGUGGGUGACCUGCCCUCAGCUCUGGGAUAAGCCUGGGAAACCGGGUCUAAUACUGGAUAUGACUCCAUGACGCAUGUUGUGGGGUGGAAAGCCUUGUGCGGCUGAGGAUGGGCCCGCGGCCUAUCAGCUUGUUGGUGGGGUGAGGCCUACCAAGGCGACGACGGGUAGCCGGCCUGAGAGGGCGACCGGCCACACUGGGACUGAGACACGGCCCAGACUCCUACGGGAGGCAGCAGUGGGGAAUCUUGCGCAAUGGGCGAAAGCCUGACGCAGCGACGCCGCGUGAGGGA
rnacentral:rRNA from 1 species